rnacentral:lncRNA from 1 species
UUAUUCUAAAGAUAUCUUUAAACCUAGAAAUUUUAAAACUUUUAAUGAUGUAAAUUAAAUGUCGAAGUUUAGUUAUCAUGCAAUGUCUAAAAUCUAAUGGGCGAAGAGGGAACGAUAAAAAUUCGCUACACGAAAUCACAUAAGAACAUAUAAGAACACAACUUUUAAAUAAUAGUGCACGAAAUAUUAAAUAAAGAAAAGAAAUAAUAAUAACAGGUUUCUACAGAAGAAGAGUAAAGCUUGAAAAGAGGGAAGGAGGCACUAGACUGCUAGAAGGAGAUACNNNNNNNNNNNNNNNNNNNNNNNNNNNNNNNNNNNNNNNNNNNNNNNNNNNNNNNNNNNNNNNNNNNNNNNNNNNNNNNNNNNNNNNNNNNNNNNNNNNNNNNNNNNNNNAGCAAUAAUACGCCUAUCUACCACAAAUUUAUAUUUAAAGGAUUUUCAAAUUAUUACCUAAUAAGAAACUAACAUUAUUCUAAAGAUAAGCUACUAUUUCGUAUUAAAGAAGUAUUAAAAGGAUUCUAACAAACUUGGUCAUUAUUCUAAAGAUAUCUUUAAACCUAGAAAUUUUAAAACUUUUAAUGAUGUAAAUUAAAUGUCGAAGUUUAGUUAUCAUGCAAUGUCUAAAAUCUAAUGGGCGAAGAGGGAACGAUAAAAAUUCGCUACACGAAAUCACAUAAGAACAUAUAAGAACACAACUUUUAAAUAAUAGUGCACGAAAUAUUAAAUAAAGAAAAGAAAUAAUAAUAACAGGUUUCUACAGAAGAAGAGUAAAGCUUGAAAAGAGGGAAGGAGACACUAGACUGUUAGAAGGAGAUACAUAAUGCAAUUUGCUCGCUUCUCUGAUUUGAACAGAGAUGGAGUCAUGCCAUGAAACUCCAAACGCACUCCCGAGUGUAUAUGAAAAAAUAAGAAAAAUAAAGAUUAGGAGCCAAACUAAUUGUAAGGAAAAUGAACGGAAAGAAAUACUUGCCACAUGAAUGUUCGAAUAUUAAAUUUGAAUGAAACCGCGAAAAUAAAUCAGCAUAUACCUAUUAGGAACAAACAUUUGAGAAUAAAUACUUUGGGAUGUAAACAGCUUUUGUCUCACAUAACAGGCAACUCAAUCCAAAUGAACAUGAAAAAAAAGUAAAUUAACAAGACUUCUAAUAAUUCAUCGGGGGAAAACAUACACUUAAUCCUUGUCAAGGAACACGUGAACCAGCCUCAUAAAAAAAACCUUAUAUCAUAAUAUUCAAACCUGUUAUCCGUCAAACUCCACAACAACAACAACAACAACAAAAAAUCCAUUGUAUUCCCACAGUGAUAAACAUAAUGAGUUUUGGACAAAAUCAAAUAAAAUACCCUUUCCUUUAAAAACCUUUCAUAGCAUAACUUUUAAUAGAACAUUUUUCCUUAUAUCUCCUAACAUUUUAUAACAAUAUAAUAAUACUUUAAUUAAGUGUAAUCCUUUCUCAUUAAAUAUUUCAAAUAAAGAAGAACAAUAGUUUACGGCAAAGCUAUUCAACAUUUGUUAUCUUAUGAAAAGAAAGAAAGAAAGAAGUUAGACUUUUAAAAAAACUUUUCUUUAAAAAAAAAUCAAUAAAGCUUUAAAAUUAAUUGAUAAAGAAAUGACAUCCCUUUUAAUGCAAAAAGAUAAAGUAAAGCAAUUAUUUGGUUUUUUUUCUUUCAACACCCCUUUUAAUAAUAAUAAUAAAAAAAAAGAUGCAACUAUUUGACCUUUCCUUUCAUGCACCUCUCGUGCCAUAAACAGAAUUAGCCGGUAACGCACGUAUCAAUUUUUGAAAAAAAUAAUAUGAGUAUAAUUAAUAUUUUCUCCAUUUUUUAUUUUUAGUUGACCCUCUUUUUAUUUAGAAAAAUAAUUUGUUUCAUAUUACUUGUCCCAAUUGUAAAAUCAAGAUUAUUUUAUACAUAUUUUUUCAUUCUACUCAUAUCAUUACAUGACUAAACAAAUAUACAUACUCAAAGUUAUGUUUUUUUUUUUAGCAUAAUUAAUAAGGCUAAUUUGAUAAAAGUGAAUUCUAUUAAUUAUUCCUUAAUGGGAGUACUAAGUUCAUAGGGCCAACUAAAAUAAAACGAAGAGAGUAUUUAAUAUUGAUGAUAGCAUUGAAGAUAUAUUUAAAACCUCCGCAAUACCAAAAUAAAAUCCCACGAUGACAACAACAUACCAAGUAAGGCCUAAAAUUAAUUAAUUCAUAAAAAAAGAUCAAAAUGAGGCAAUCUUACUAAAAUAAGAACAACAGCAACAAGGACACCAAAUAAACUCUAAAUACGAAACUAGAACAUAGAUAUUGGAUGAGUUAACCAAAAAAAAAAAUAUUUAAAUAACAUUAAUUCUUAUCAAUCAUUUUCACGCAUAGCCUUAAAAUAAAUAGAAUAAGCAAAUGGAUCCAGAUAGGCAGAGUUGAGAUAAAUGACAAGAAGCUAUAAACAAUCGUAUUUUAUUUCUAAAAAACAAAACUGAAACAAAAAAUAUGAAGAUGAAGGCGAUUACUGACCUUGUGUGGAGAAAUGAACUAGGGCUUCAACUCAAAGACUCGAACUUCAAUUAAACAAGGAAAAAAUAGCAGGCACCUGGCGAAUUGAUCUCUCUUCACCCUUUUAUUGUGAAGAAGACUCCUCUUUUAGAGAAAAAAGGGCUGUAACGACUUCUUCAAGUAUCACAAAAUUCAAAAUUCAAAUCAAACGAAAAAAAGAGGAAGAAGGAAAAUGAGCAUCAAAGUUUUCCUUUUCAAAGAUUAUGGGCUCUGCAAAAGUCAAAAUUUUCGGUGGACUUUCCGUGAUUGAAGUGUGUUUGGUUGAAUUUCACGUGAAGAGAGGAUUUUUAGGAUUGUGUUGGUCAUAUUGCUGAUGUUGCUGUUGUUUGAUUAUUAACAGCCUGUUUGGAUGGUGGUUUCCCAUGGUAUGGUAU